rnacentral:tRNA from 1 species
GCCUUCGUGGUAUAGUGGUCAGCACGCUCGACGCGUAACCGAGAGGCCCGGUGUUCGAUUCCCGGCGAAGACG